rnacentral:lncRNA from 1 species
CAUUUCCUGAGCCUUGUGGUUGGAUGAAUGCAAACUUUCAACUAUUUCUAAUUCUUCUCUGACAUUUAAGAGGCUUUCAAUGUGCACUGUACAUCUCAGAUCAGAUUUUCAAGCCAAGUGUUCAUGAUAUGAUCAAGCUAGCUUACAGAGAA